UAAAUGUAAUUCCAAUAAACUCGUCACGUUUGUCUUGAUAGCCCUAUCACUGAUGAGCCGGUUCUUAAUAAUGUGGGAAGCUUUGCAGUUCUAGAUACGUUUUGAAUCUUUGAAACUGUAACUACACGAAAAUUAAACCGGGUUUUCUUUGAUUGCCAGUGGCAAUUCAGACAAAGGAGCUUCUGUGGAAACUACGGCUCACCCACUUUUUAGCUGGAGGUUGUUGAUGGCGAUUCCGUCAUUUGGUAGUGUUUCAAAACUAUAGCAAUCUCCUUGCUGCUUCCAUCGGCCACUGCAGAGCCAUCAGUCUUUAUGUUCAAAACCUUAGGGAAAUUUAAAACCACUUAAAAUGUGACAGAUUGAUUAUCAUAUGGGAAUUUGAGAAAACGUAGAAUACAGACGUGGAAGUAGGCCCACGAUGAGUCCGAAGGCAUCAAAGAGAAGGAAGUUUAAUGAACCACAAGCAAAACCGCGAGGUUUUUUAGAAAGUUAGGGUAAGUUAAGAAAUAUCAAAUAACUUUUAAAACUUGCUUCUUCCAGCAAAUUCCGACAGAUUGAUACAGAAUUUCCAGUACCCAGUACCCUGUCAGUGGUUGUUUCGACUUUUGUAUCUGCCGUCAUCUUAAAGCAAUGACCCAUUGCCAUAAAAAUGACCCUUCGACACUGGAGUAGAGUGUGUUCUUUCUUGGGGUUACAGUGUAGAAUUUAAACGGUAUUCAGGCAUCGUGUGUUGAGUACUUGAUUCUUUGAAAGCAAUCUGAGGUGGACAAAUGCGUUGCGCUGUUCCGAUAGAUAAUAACGGAUGGGAGGUAACCAGAGAGGUGUUCAUCAAGGGGGCAGUUCUGUGGGAAUUGUUUGUCAGUAGGAACUGUGUCGGAAGCUGUCAACAGUCACGAGUCUACAUCAUAUACAGAGGCUUGGCGAUUCUGAAGCAAUCCUUACACCCAGUGUUAAUUAUGCCCCAUUCUCGGUACUGGCAAGAAAAGAUGUCCUCAUUAACGCAGUUCUGUACUACUUGCUCAAUUCUAUGAUAGAUUUGUGCCAGAAGAUGAUAUUAUCAUUAGUUUCGAAUGCAACAAACCGAGCUUAUGCUCGCAUGUGCUUCAGGAGAGAACCUCAUCAACUUUCAAGUACUACGAUCCGUUGUUAGUUGAUCAGAGGCUGCAAGCAGUUCUGUGAAGACUUAUUUGAGUUUGUAAGAGAAUUGUUUCUGUACAUAACAGAAAAAGCGGGCUCCAACAAUGAUCCCUUAUAUACGCAACAUUCUAUUAAAAAAUACCAAGAAGAAGCAAUAAUAGCAAUGGAGACAUACUGUUUUUUAGUAGUAGCCUGAGGCUUUUGGUACACGCGUACACAAUAACAGAAGAUACACAGCUUAAUGAGAGAGUGACUCUUCCAUCUGUAGCCUUCGAAUGAGCUGGAUCUCCAUGGAAUCUCCUGUUUGCAUUUGACCCAAGCACGUAAAAUCACCUAUAUCGGUCCCCGGCUCAAUGCCAAAGUUGAUGAGGCUUCAACAUCAACAACUUGUUCAUGAGGUUCAACAUCAACUUGUUCUAUCUGAAAGACAGUGGAAUCGAGGAGAAGAAAUCGUUCGUUCAGUCCCUCCACUGCGCUCUCGCUUCAAAAAUGCGGCGAUGCAUAUUCUCUGAGAAUAUUAGCUUAAGUUUCUUUGCGCUCGUACAUUACCUGAAUCUGAACACACGCAGAUUCUGAACUAGCCAUCAAAUAGGUAUGAGGAUUCAGAUUAACCACUGUAGAAAGAACAUGAAAGUUUUUCCUAUCUUCUUCUGAAACAAAUAUGAAAGUGAGAUGUAUCAAUCUUGUUGAAUAUGGAAACAAGAUAGAAUAAUACUAUCUAAGCUCUAAUACCUCGUGAUAAUGAUAGGGAAAGUAUAAGAGUAGAAGAUAUGUUAUAUGGAGUGACUUCAUCUAUUUUAUUAUGUCUCAAGUAGAAGAUGGAUGACAAUGCCAUUAUUACAAACUCUCUUGUUUCAAUGCAUUGUCAUUCUUAUUCUCAUAUCUAACAUUUGUUUAGUCAAUUAAGAACUAUUCCACCAUUUUAGAAGUAUAUUUCAUUGGUUUUGAUUACUUUAAAGUCAUGUUUUUUUAUUAUAUUUAUAUUACAAAUAAGUAUCUAUUUUAUUUUUAAAAUUUUGAAAAUAAAUAAAUAAAUAAAUAAAUAGUAUGGGAGAUGGCAUACUUUUACAA